rnacentral:rRNA from 1 species
CAGUAGCCGCGGUAAUACGAGGGGGGCAAGCGUUGUUCGGAAUUAUUGGGCGUAAAGGGUGCGUAGGCGGUUUGAUAAGUCUUGUGUGAAAUCUAUAGGCUCAACCCAUAGUCUGCAUAGGAAACUGUCAGGCUUGAGAGUGGGAGAGGUGAGUGGAAUUUCCGGUGUAGCGGUGAAAUGCGUAGAUAUCGGAAGGAACACCUGUGGCGAAAGCGGCUCACUGGACCAUUUCUGACGCUGAUGCACGAAAGCUAGGGGAGCAAACAGGAUUAGAUACCCCAGUAGUCCCUGUCUCUUAUAU